rnacentral:rRNA from 1 species
AUUGAACGCUGGCGGCAGGCCUAACACGUGCAAGUCGAGCGGAUGAGUGGAGCUUGCUCCAUGAUUCAGCGGCGGACGGGUGAGUAAUGCCUAGGAAUCUGCCUGGUAGUGGGGGACAACGUUUCGAAAGGAACGCUAAUACCGCAUACGUCCUACGGGAGAAAGUGGGGGAUCUUCGGACCUCACGCUAUCAGAUGAGCCUAGGUCGGAUUAGCUAGUUGGUGAGGUAAAGGCUCACCAAGGCGACGAUCCGUAACUGGUCUGAGAGGAUGAUCAGUCACACUGGAACUGAGACACGGUCCAGACUCCUACGGGAGGCAGCAGUGGGGAAUAUUGGACAAUGGGCGAAAGCCUGAUCCAGCCAUGCCGCGUGUGUGAAGAAGGUCUUCGGAUUGUAAAGCACUUUAAGUUGGGAGGAAGGGCAGUAAGUUAAUACCUUGCUGUUUUGACGUUACCAACGGAAUAAGCACCGGCUAACUUCGUGCCAGCCGCCGCCGUAAGAC